rnacentral:rRNA from 1 species
GGUCAAAUGAAUAAGAGCACAUGGUGGAUACCUGGGCACCUAGAGACGAAGAAGGGCGUCACUACCGACGAUACGCUCCGGGGAGCUGGAAGUAAGCUUCGAUCCGGAGAUUCCCGAAUGGGGCAACCUCAAGGACUCCCUGCUGAAUUCAUAGGCAGGGUAGAGGAAACCCGGUGAACUGAAACAUCUUAGUAGCCGGAGGAAAAGAAAGCAAACGCGAUUCCCUUAGUAGCGGCGAGCGAAACGGGACCAGCCUAAACCGGAAUUCGUUCCGGGGUUGUGGGACCAUCAAAACGAGAAGCGCAUGUCUGUUAAGCGAAGCAGCUGAAUCCUGCACCAUAGGGGGUGAAAGUCCCGUAGCUGAAAACAACAACGCUCUCGAUGGAAUCCCGAGUAGCAUGGGGCACGUGAAAUCCCGUGUGAAUCAGCGAGGACCACCUCGUAAGGCUACAUACUCCUAGGUGACCGAUAGCGAACUAGUACCGUGAGGGAAAGGUGAAAAGAACCCCCGCAGGGGAGUGAAAAAGAUCAUGAAACCGUGUGCUUACAAGCAGUGGGAGGGGCCUGAGCCCUGACCGC